GCAAAUUAACUAGAUAAAGCUCUUGCAGAUUUGUUAGAUGUUGAAGCCACUCCGGAAGAUGCCGACACUUUGGAAUAUUUUGCAGCCAUAGAGAGCGUAGGCUUGUAUGGUCUUGGAAUAUUUGGAUGCCAGCUCCAGAUAACUCCAGCUCCUUGCAGUCCAUUACUUCAAACUCUUCAAGGAAAGUGAGAUGUUGGAACACAGGAAGCAGUGACCUCAAUCCAUUGCAGUUAUGAAUUUUUAAUGUUUUCAAUUGAACAAGAUGUUGAAGCCAAAUGGGGAGAGACACCAGCUUUGGAAUAUUAUAAAUCUUCAAAUGAGAGAGAUUCUUAAGGGGUUCCCAUUGCAUGCCCUCUAAAUCAACCUCCUUGCAAUCUCUUAUUGUUAAUCUUUUGAGGCUGGUGAGAUGUUGCAGGCACUCAUCUAGCGUGUGAGUGUCCAACCCCUCAAUGUUGCCUACAAGGAAAGAUUUCAAUCUGGAGAGAGGAAGAGAAGAGGUUGAAGUUGAUGGGGUCGUACUAGUGAUGUUCAUCUUCAUGGUCUGCUUUAACGGCCUUGAACUGGUAUUCCUCAACUUUAGCUUAUCAUCGAGUGAAGGAUACAACGGCAUUGAUGUCAAAGGGCAAUUUUGAAUUGUUAAAGAGGAAAGACAAGGAAAUGCCAUGGUUGAUGGUCCCAUAUCUGUUGUGUCGUCCUCGUUGGAAUCAUCAUCGAUUGGUUUUGUCGUCCUCCACCAACUCUUCAUAUUUGGGCAAUCCUGUAGGCAAAGAUACUUAAGCGAUGGGAAGAAUGAUUGUGGUUCUCCUUGACUUCCUUUUGGGCUAUUAUCAUCCAUGUACUCCAGUUCAGUUAAAUCACAAAUUACCAAAUCUUGAAGACAAGGAAAUUGAGCAAAGGAUGGGAGAUGUUUGAAUUUACCACCACGACCCAUUAUUUUAAUAUGGACGAGAUUUGUGAGAAAAGAAAUCCAACUUGGAAACUCAGCAUCACCCCUCCAUCCUGUAAUAAAGAGCUUCUUGAGAUUAGGAUGGGGCUGGAGGUCUUCAAGUGACUUCUCAUAAUCAUCUUCAUCAUCAAUAUCAACAUUCCAUUCUAAAACCAACGAUCUCAAAUGUUGCUUCUCUUUCAAAUUAGCAGCCUUAAACUUCUCUUUUGCAUUUUUUACGAAUCCCAAAUUUGUUAUUUCUAGAUGUCCCCUUAAGUUAUUAAGCAGUCUCAAUUCACUUAGAUCUGCACCGCCAUGGGACCCAUCUUUAUCCACUACAAACAUGCUUAACGUCUCAAGUGAAGUCAGCUUACCUAUUCCACAUGGCAUAUGAGUUAAGCCAUUACAAUCUUCACACCCAAGAUGGGUAAGAUUCACCAAUUUUUCAAUCUUCUUUGGCAAUUCUUUAAGCCCAUCACACAAGUCAAGUUUCAGCGCUAGCAAAGUCUGAAUCUUGCAAAUACUCUGUGGGAGAAUCUUAAUGCCGGGAUUAUUAGAAAGAUCAAGGUACCUCAAAUAUUUCAACUUACAAAUGGAGGGUGAAAUCUUUUGAAUACCUAUAGAAUCCAAUUUCAAUACACGCAAGCAUCUACAAUUUGCAAUUAUCAAAUCCGAAGUUUCAUAGCUGAAAUUUUGAUCUAUGUUGUUUGGAAAGUUUAACAAGGUUCGCAACUUCUUUCCCUUAAAUAAAGGAAUUAAUGAAGGUUUAAUUGAUAUGUGGCGACAUUUUUCACCAACAUCACUUGCAAUUUUUUUGAAUCUACAAUACUACUCUCCAUCCCUGCUACUGAUUCAGCUAGAUCAUGCAUUAAAUCAUGCAUUUUACAUGUCAUAUCUUCCAUCAAGUCUCCUUCUACCUCUUGGAAGAAACUUCUUUCAAUUAAAUCUUUAAAAUACCCAAAUCCGAUCUCCUCGAGAGAUUGACUUUGAUACAAUUUCUUUAUGAAACCCUGUGCAAUCCAAAAUUGAACAAGCGCUUGUACUUCAAUUCUGUAAUCUUUUGGAUACAAUCGGCAAUAAGCAAAGCAAUGCUUCAAAUGAGACGGGAGAUGAUCAUAACUCAAUUUCAGUAUAGGUAGAAGUUCUCCUUCAAUUUUUGAAAUUUUAGCAAGUUCAUUUUCUUUGAAAGAAUGCCACUCAUUUGCAGUUUUCUUCAAAGAUAAUGUACCAGCUAUCGUCCUUAUGGCUAAGGGAACCCCACCACACCUUUCCGAAAUCUGUCUCCCUACUUCCACAAAGGCUGAAUUUGUUGAGUCUGCAUGUCCUUGCUCAAAUGCUAUCUUUUUGAACAAAGACCAAGCAUCAUCAUCAGACAAGCCUUUCAAUUUCAAAACAUGGGAUUGACAUUUAUUAGUUAUCUCCGCUACCCUCAGAGAUCGAGUAGUUACUAUUAUCCUACUCCCUUUAGCCCCACCCACCAAUAACUUCUUUAGCCUAGACCACUUUUCUAGGUCCUCAUUCCAAAUGUCAUCCAAAACAAGCAAAUAUUUUUUCCCAUCAAUUUUAUCUCGAAGUUGUUUUUGCAAUUGAUCCAUUUCAAGAUUUUGAUCAGGUGCAUGAUGAGUCACAGAUUUGAUAAUGUUUGCUACAAUAGCUUUCACAUCAAAAUCAUCUGAAACACACGCAAACAUCGUUAAGUCAAAAUGAUUUUUGACCUUUCAUGGUUAUAGACAAGUUGGGCCAAAGCAGUCUUCCCUAACCCUCCAAACCCCACAAUUGGAAUGAUAUAAACAUUCUCUUCACUUUGAAACUCCAACACGAGUUUUAGAAGAGCUGCUUUAUCAUCAUCCCUCCCUAUUAUGUCAUCUUAACACUCAAAAGAGUGCGUUUGCUGCCUCCUUUUAGUCAUGAAAGAGGUUUUCGCGGGGCGAUCAUGCGGAAUGAAGCCAAAAGUGUUGGUCCCGCUUUCAAUUGAAGCUAAUCUCGCCUUAAUGGCCUUCAUUUUCCGACCCAUUUUGAGACCAUAAGCAAAUUGGUUUGAGGUUGAGAAGAAAAGGCGUACCUCUUUCGUCAGCUUGUUCCCACCCGAUACAUCUUUCCGCAAAGCUUCAGUAGAGAAAUCAUCAAGCAAGUCGUCGGCAUCAUAAAGUACAUCUUUCAGCUCUUCAAGCCAAACUUUGACGAGAUUGUCAGUCACCGAUUUCUCUUCUGCGUCAAGAAGCACAGCUUUGAUUUGACAGACAGUGCGUUUGAGGUCGUGGAUGUCAUGUUUUAGAUUCCACCACAGCCCAACUUGAGAGAGAGCACGAGAGCUCAACUUAAUAAUGAGCUCUGCGGCAAUGUCGAAAGCAAUUGCUUCGGCCAUUGGUGGUUCAAACUGAAAUCAAUGCAAAAAGUGUUUGAUUCGUGAAAGAGGAGGACUAAUAUGAGAAUGAUUCCAACAAGAUGAAACACAGAUGUAGAUCCAUACACGCGGAGACUGAAGUAUAUUUAUAGAUGUUACCAUCCACCCAGCAAGUAGUAUAAUUAAAUAAAAAGUAAUUUUAAGAGAUUCAUUAAUAUAAUUAUUUGUCUAUGCAAUAUGUCAAAGUAAAAUGUAAGAGGUUGAUUUGGCAUAUCCCAAAACAUUUUGUUAUAGUUUGGAUGGUCAUUCUUGUCAAGUUACCUAUCAUUGGCAAAGCUUGGUAGAGACUCUUAAAAUGGUAAAUUUUUAAUUUAAACCUUUUAUAAUUUAUAAAAUUUUAAAUUAAUAAUGAUAAAAUUAUAAUUUAAUCCUCUAAAAAUUUAUAAAAAAAUUAAUUUAACUCUUUAAAAAUUAUAAAAAUAUACUACUAUAAAAAUAUAUAAUUUAAUUCUGACUAAAAAUUUUUUUAGCUCGGCUACCGUUGCCUAUAAAAGAAAAAUAAAUUUCGUUUUCCACACAAUAUGUGGAGAGAUAUUGGGUUUAUGUCAGCUCCAUGGGAAUGUAUUUUAUUGGAAUUGAAGGAAAAAUCAUUACUUAUACCCUCGUGAAGAUUGCUUCCAAUGCCCAUAUCUAUUUAAUUAUUUUAUUACUCAUAAAAUUGUUUAUUGUGAGUUGGAUGCUUUUGGUUUGAUUAUUUAAGAUGUUUUAUUUUUAAAUAUAUUCUUAAUUAUUUAUUUUACAUAUACAUGUAUUUUAACUUAAUAUAUUUAAUAGUGAUUUUGUUUUUUAUAAAAAAAGGACCCAAAGGUACUACCUCAUUUUAAGUUGCAUCAUAAAUUACAAUGUUAUGGAUAUCGCUAGGAUAAUUCAUCCCAAAAGACAAAUUACAACACUUAGAAAGAGCCCAAUUACGAAGAGAAUCGACUAAUUUGUUACAACCACGUUUCACCCAUUUGACCUCGGCGGAAACAAAAGAAUCAAGCAUCUUGUGAGCUCAUUGAUGCAGUGAUCAAGGGUCGUUAUGUCCUCUUUGUGAAAACUAAAGCGGUUGACAAUGCUAGCACAAUCUGCUUCAAAUGACAUUAUCGGCUUCAAAAAAUUGAGCAUGCCGAAAACCAUCGAUGAGGGCAUCUAAUUCUGCUUUAAUAGUGAUUUUUUAUUCUCAUUUUAUCGGUAUAUUUGUUGGAACAUUUUCAAAUAUUUAUAGUGUUCCAAUAACUAUAAAUGAAUGGGUGUAAUUAAUCAAAAGAUUACAUUAUUUGAUUUUUUUGAAAAAGAGUUAUAACUAUUUAAAUAAUAUUAUUUGAAUAGUUAUAAAUGUAUAAUUAUGUGUUUAUUUUUAAGACAUUAUUAUUCAGAAAGACACCUAUUGAUGAAGAGACAUGAAAAUUUCUAUAAGUAGGAAUGGAAUUUCAUUUGGAAAACAUACCAAAAAAUUCUAAAUAUUCUUUCUUUCCUUCAUUCAUUUUCUAAUAUUAUUAGAUUAUUCUAUAAAGUAUUACUGCAGAAAUUCUUUGUAGAAAUUGAGUUUUUGAUAUAUAUUGCUUAGUGCUUAGUGGACUAUUCUCGUCAGUGCAAAACGCAAAUAGUCAUUAGCUUCAUUGUAUCCUCGAGGUUAAUUUGCUUGAAACUCAUUUGCACACCGAAGAUAGGUGGGGGUGAAUAUAACCUUAAAGAUAGUGGCUUGAUACACGCCUUGGAGCAUUGCCAUUUUUCUUCUUUUUCUGUUCGAGUUCUGUUUGUGUGUUCGAGAUUUUUCUCACUGGAGUUUUGUACUAACAAUUUUAAGGUUAUAAUUCAUGAUGACUACCACAACACAUGAAAGUGGAACACUAAGGGAGUUGGCUUCCAACUUUGUUAAACUUGAUCGGUUUGAUGGUUGUAAUUUUCGACGAUGAUAGAAAAAUAUGCACUUCUUAUUAUCAACUUUGAAGAUUGCUUAUGUUUUGGAUACUCCAAGACCUGAAGAGAAUGAAAACCAAUCUGUUGUUGCAACUUGAGAAAGAUAAAAAUGGGACAAUGCUGACUACAUGUGCAUGGGCCACAUAUUGAAUGGUUUAUCUGAUGGUUUGUUUGACACCUACCAAAACGAGGUCACCGCUAAAGAAUUAUGGGACAAAUUGGAGACAAGAUACAUGACUGAAGAUGUUACAAGUAAGAAAUUUCUUGUCAGUCGUUUCAAUAAUUAUCAAAUGGUUGAUGGUCAUUCUAUUAUGGAACAAUUCCGUGAUAUUGAAAAGAUGUUGAAUCAAUUCAAGCAAUAUGAUAUGAAAAUGGAUGAAAUGAUUGUUGUAUCCUCCAUAAUAGACAAACUUCCUCCAUCUUGGAAAGACUUUAAAAGAAGUCUAAAACAUAAGAAAGAGGAAAUAUCUCUUGAGGCUUUGGCAAAUCAUCUUCGUAUUGAAGAAGAGUAUAGAAAACAAGAUCAAAACCUAAAUUCUGAAAAUGCCAAAGUGCAUGUUACGGAAGAAGUACAGACUACUAAACCAUUCAAGAGAAAGUUUAAACAGACUGAUAAAGUACCUAAGUUCAAAAAGAAACAAAAGGGCUCAUGCUAUCAUUGUGAAAAAUCGGGACAUUUCAAGAAUGAAUGUCGAUUUUUAAAGAAGAAAUCAUCUUUUAAGGCUGAUAAUAACGAAAAAUUCGUUGCAAUGAAAUCUGAAAUUAAUAUGGCACAAGAUGAAAGUACAUGGUGGAUUGAUACCGGAGCAACCAAACAUGUGUGCAAAGACAAAAGCAUGUUCACAAAGUCCACACAAUGAAAAAAUGACAAUGUCUUGUACAUGGGAAAUUCUUCCACCGCAGCAAUCAAAGGCAAAGGGUCUGUUGAACUACAAUUCACUUCUGGAAAGGUUUUAACCUUAAAUGAUGUAUAUUAUGUACCAGAAGUUUGAAAUAAUUUAGUGUCUGGAAGUCUGUUGAAUAAGUUUGGUUUCAAACUUGUUUUUGAGGCAGAUAAGUUUAUUUUGUCUAAGGGAGGAAUUUUUGUGGGGAAAGGGUAUAUGUAUGAGAGCAUGUUCAAACUCAAUAUUAUUAAUAAAAAUAAAAAUACUAUUUCUACUUAUAUGGUUGAAUUUUUUUGUUUGUAGCAUUAUAGAUUAGGUCAUUUGAAUUAUAGAAAAUUGAAUGACAUGUAUAAGUUAGAUUUAAUUCCUAUUUUUAAUAAUAACAUUGAAAAAUGCAAUACAUGUAUGUUGACUAAAAUUACAAGAAACCCUUUCCCUAAGGUUAAAAGGAAAACAAAAUUGCUUGAUUUGAUACAUAGUGAUUUAUGUGACAUGCAUAAUACUCCUACAUUAGGUGGAAAGAAAUAUUUUGUUACUUUUAUUAAUGAUUGUUCUAGAUAUUGUUAUGUAUAUUUAUUGCAUUCAAUAGAUGAAGCGCUUAAUAAAUUUAAAGUUUAUAAAUCUGAAGUUAAACUUCAGUGUGAGUCAUUUAUCAAGUGCUUAAGAUCAGAUAGAGGUGAAGAAUACUAUAAUCCAAGUUAUUUUGAAUCCACUGGAAUUGUCCAUCAAGUUUCAGCCCCUUACACACUACAACAAAAUGGUGUAGCUGAAAGGAAAAAUAGAAUCUUGACUGAAAUGGUAAAUUCAAUGUUAUCAUAUUCAGGUAUUGGACAAGGUUUUAGGGCGAAGCUGUUCUAACAACUUGUCAUAUAUUUAAUAAAGUUCCUAAUAAGGAAACUAAAAUAACCCCCUAUGAACAAUGGAAGAAAAGGAAACCAAACCUUAAUUAUUUGAAGGUUUUGGGUUGUAGAGCUAUUGUAAAAGUUCCAACACCUAAACAUAAAAAGUUAGGUGAAAGAGGAAUUGAAUGCAUAUUUAUAGGUUAUGCACAUAAUAGCAAGGCAUAUAGGUUCAUGGUAAUUGAACCAAAUGAUUCAAUUUCAAUUAAUAAUGUUAUUGAAUCAAGAUAUGCUAUUUUUGAUGAAAAUAGAUUUAAUUCUAUAUCAAGACAAUUACAGCCACAACAAUUGAUUCAUUCUUCAAAUGAGAAUGAGAUUCCAUUGGAACAAAUUGAUAAUAAUAAUGAAUCUUGUCAAGAAUUAAGAAGAAGUAAGAGGAUUAAAAAGGUCAAAGAUUUUGGACCAGAUUUUAUUAUGUUUCUUGUAAAAGAAAAAGGUGAAAGUAUAUGCAAUAAGAUACCUUAUUGUUAUAAUACAGAAUCUGAUCCUAUUACAUUUGAAGAGGGCAAUGAAAUCUCAAGACUCUACUUUUUGGAAAGAAGCAAUAAAUGAUGAGAUGGAUUCAAUAAUGGGAAAUCAAACUUGGAUCUUAGUUGAUCUUCCACCAGGUUCUAAACUAAUAGGUUGUAAAUGGAUCUUCAAAAAGAAAAUGAAGGUCGAUGGAACCAUUGAUAAAUUUAAAGCAAGGUUGGUAGCCAAAGGUUUUAUACAAAAACAAGGUAUUGAUUACUUUGAUACCUAUGCUCCAGUAGCAAGAAUUGCUACAAUUAGACUCUUAAUAUCACUUACCUCUAUAUAUAAUUUAGUUUUUCACCAAAUGGAUGUUAAAAUUGUAUUUUUAAAUGGUGAAUUAGAUGAGGAAGUGUACAUGGAGUAACCGGAAGGAUUUAUUGUUCUAGGACAAGAGCAUAAGGUAUGUAAGCUUGUUAAAUCUUUAUAUGGGCUUAAACGAGCACCAAAACAAUGGCACCAAAAGUUUGACAAGGUUGUUUUAGCUAAUAGCUAUAAAAUAAAUGAAUCUGAUAAGUGCAUAUAUAGCAAAUUUGAAAAUGGAAAAGGUGUCAUAAUUUGCUUAUAUGUAGAUGACAUGCUCAUUUUUUGCACGGAUUUGGAAUAAAUAGAAAACACAAAGAAAUUCUUGUCAAACAACUUUGCUAUGAAGGAUAUGAGUGUAGCAGAUGUUAUUCUUGGGAUUAAAAUAACCCGAGAUGAAAGCACUAUAGCUUUAUCACAAUCACAUUACAUUGAAAAUGUGCUUAAAAAGUUUGAUCUUUUCAACUGUAUACCAGCAUCUACACCCAUGGAUCCUCAAAUAAAAUUAGUAUCUAAUGCUAGUAGGAAAAUUGAUCAAUUGAAAUAUGCAAGUCUAAUUGGUUGUCUUAUGUACAUAAUGACUUGUACAAGACCAGAUAUUUCAUAUGUUGUUGGAAAAUUGAAUAGGUACACAAGUAAUCCAAGUAGUUUGCAUUGGCAAGCUUUGAAUAGAGUACUUAAGUACUUAAAGAAAACUAUUAACUAUGGAUUGUGUUAUAACAGAUAUCCUCCAGUUUUAGAAGGUUAUUCGGAUGCUAGUUAGAUUACAAGUUUGGAAGAUCAUGCAUUUACUAGUGGAUGGAUCUUCAUUCUUGGUAGAUGAGCCAUUUCUUGGGGUUCCAAGAAACAAACAUGUAUUACUAAUUCCACCAUGGCAGCAGAAUUUAUUGCAUUAGCUGCUGCAUUUAAAGAGGCAGAAUGGUUAAGAAAUUUUCUUUAUGAUGUACCUUUAUGGCCUUAGCCAAUUUCACCUAUUUCUAUCCGUUGUGAUAGUGAGGCUACUCUAGCAAAGGCAUAUAGCCAAGUAUAUAAUGGAAAGUCUAGACACAUUGGAUUAAGACAUAGUUAUGUCCGAUAAUUAAUCUCUGAUGGAGUGAUCACUAUUAAUUAUGUGAGGUCAAGUGAAAAUUUGGCAGAUCCUUUGACAAAAAGUCUUGCUAGAGAUAUAAUAAAAAGGACCUCAAAAGGGAUGGAACUCAAGCCCAUUAAUUAGAGUCACCCAUGAUGGAAACUCAAAUCAAUGCUUGGUAUAACGUCAAGUCUUGAGUUCAAUGAGACAAAGUACAUCAUUAGUAUGUGACUGUUAGCACUAUAAAUAAAUCCAUCCUAAGAUUAAAGUGCUAGGUAUCCGUAAUGAUAAGGAAAGGAUGAAUAAUGUACUCUUAACGGACCCAUAACAGAAAUAUGUUAGAGUGUUAUAAUUACGGGAACACUCUUAAUGGGAUCUACCUAUGUGAGUGGAAGUGCGGCCGCUUCUAGGAGCUCAAGGGUUUGACUCUGACAGCACUCAUGAAAAGAGGACACAGACAUAUGGCCAUAAUAGUGUCUUUAGAUAUUAUGCAUUGGCCGAUGUUGAAAUCAUUGUACGAGAUGUGUUCAGUUAAUCAAAUGGAAUAGUUGGUUCAAAGCUUUGUCUACCGUGCAUUUUUUAUUAACUUUAACAUAUAUUCACUAAGUGAAGGUUCAAUCGUAAGAUAUCUUCAUUUAUGCAAAUUGAUUUCCAAGAAUAUCAAAAUCUAAAAUAUUUUGAAAAUGGGGGGGAGAUUGUUGGAACAUUUUCAAAUAUUUAUAGUGUUUCAAUAACUAUAAAUGAAUGGGUGUAAUUAAUCAAAAGAUUAUAUUAUUUGAUUUUUUGAAAAGGAGUUAUAACUAUUUAAAUAAUAUUAUUUGAAUAGUUAUAAAUGAAUAAUUAUGUGUUUAUUUUUAAGACAUUAUUAUUCAGAAAGACACCUAUUAAUGAAAGAUGUCUCUAUGAAGAGACAUGAAAAUUCCUAUAAAUAGGAAUGGGAUUUCAUUUGGAAAACAUACCAAAAAAUUUCAAAUAUUCUUUCUUUCCUUCAUUCAUUUUCUAAUAUUAUUAGAUUAUUCUAUAAAGUAUUACUGCAGAAAUUCUUUGUAGAAAUUGAGUUUUUGAUAUACAUUGCUUAGUGCGUAGUGGACUAUUCUCGUCAGUGCAAAACGUAAAUAGUCAUUGGCUUCAUUGCAUCCUCGAGGUUAAUUUGCUUGGAACUCAUUUGCACAUCGAAGAUAGGUGGGGGCGAAUAUAACCUUAAAGAUAGUGGCUUAAUACACACCUUGGAGCAUUGUCCUUUUUCUUCUUUUUUUGUUCGAGUUCUGUUCGUGUGUUCGAGAUUUUUCUCACCGGAGUUUUGUACUAACAAUAUUUACAUUGAAUUCAAAUACAUAUUCUACAAUUAACUUUAAUCUCACUGUUACAAUACUUAACCUCACUAAAUUACUUGUUUAACAUGAUUAUCGUGAAUUUAUAGAAAGAAAAAUCACGAAGCAAAUGCAGAUGCACUUAUGUUUAAAGUGUUUUUAAUUGAACUUUUAUUAUUUUGAAAAAUAAAAGUAUAAUAACUUUUUUUGCAUUCCAACUUUAUAAAAGAAUUAUUUUAGCUCUUUAUUUAUUUCCCUUCUCUUUUAGUCUUUGAACUUACAUUUUUUUUGUCAAACCAUCCAAAAUGGGUGAAAAAGUUAACGUUUGUUAACUUUGUUGACAUGACAUAUAGGUGGAUUACCACGAGUAUGUCACGUUAGCAAUUAAUUAUUUUUAAAAAAUUAAAAAAUAUUUUCUUAUUAUUUUUUAAUUUUUUUAAUUUUUUUAAUGUUUAAAAUAUUUUUUAAAUGUUUUAAAAUUUUAAAAAAUAAUUAAUUGCUUAUGUGGCAUAUACAUGGAAAUCCGCGUGUAUGUCACAUCAGUAAAAUCAACAGACGUUAAAUUUUCACUCAUUUUGGAGUGAUUUAACAAAAAUUACAAGUUUAAGAACUAAAAGAAACGAAAAAUUAAAUGAUAAGUUGAAAUAACUUUUUCCGUAAACUUGGAGACCAAAAGAAUCAUUAUGGCAAAAAAUAGUUGUUUUUCUUCUCUUUUCUUCUUUUCUUUUUGGUAUCUUUUAGUGCUAAAAUUCAAGAUGGUGUGGAAUAGUUUCUAAUCUUAUUAUUGUUAUAUAUGUUUUCGAUCUCAUUAGAGCUAUAAUCUCAUUGUCUAUAUAAAGAGAGCCUAAAUAUAAUUUGUUCAGCUUCUAUUAAACAUGUUAGUGCUCCUUUGUACGAUCAUUUUCCUCCCGUGAGUAGGGUUGAGUAAAUAAAAUAAAAUAAUUGAAAAUCGAUCCAAAUCAAGGUGUUUAGACGGUUUAUGGAAUACAAAUUAAAAAAUCACAAUUAUCCGAAACCGAACAAAAUUCUAUUCUUUAUUUAACUUAUAAAUAAUUUUUUAUAACAUAAAAAAUCUUUUAUAUUGAAAAAUAGUGAAAAUAAAUAUAUAUAUAUAUUUUAAAAAUAUUAUAUAAAAGUAUUUGAUUAUUUUUAUUUACUUAAAAAAUUUUAAAAAAUAUCUAUGAAAAUAACUUUGAAAAUUUGUCUAAUGAUAAUUAAAAGCCGUAAAAUAAAGUUUAUUUUAUUAAAAUAAUUAUAAAAAUUUAUAAUAAAAAAUCGAACUAAACUAAAUUAUAAUGGAUGGAUAAAAAAAUGCAAUUGAAUUAAACUAAUAUCACUUAAUUUUAUUGCACCAAACUGCACAUAAAAGAUUUUCUUAAAAAAUUUAACCUGCAAUGACACUGUUUUUCUCACUAAAACCUUCUAGAGCGUGCAAUGUCCUCGCCAAGUAAGUAAAUUCAAUAGAGGUUGGAGGCUAAAGGUUGAUACAUAAAAGAAGGGGAGGGGCACAGUUCUGCUUCAACCAAAACCCCAAAUUUAGCAUCUUGAGUUGUUAAAAUAAGUAAAUUCACCAUACUUUUCCGUUAGAUUUUGGCUCUCUUCUUCAGCAGAAUGUGGCGUACAGUACAAGAAGCAGGGACCAUCCUUUCUACCAUGAUUUGAUUAUCUGCCCACAUAUUCCAACAAAACGAAUAUGGUAAUAAAUGUCAUCAAUUUCCUUCUAAUUUCCAAUUGAUCUGAUAGAAAUGGUGUAAUUCAAGAGUACUUGUAUAAUAUAUAUGCCCAACUGAGUACUAGAUGGAAUCUAUGCUGUUGACGGACUCUUGGAGGCAUGUUCGAGAGAGCUUAAACACAUUUAUAUUUUUCAGUGUUCCAUACAAUAUUCUAAUGAGUGUCGAAUUCAUUAAAAUGAUGUAAAAAAUAAUAUAAGGAGUAGGGUCAAUCCACAGAAAUUGAGAUAUCAACAUUUGUUGUUUGCUUCAACCAAGUUGCACGUCUAGAUUCUUAUCCUGCCCACGAGGUGUGACUGUCUGUGCAAAAAUAAAAAGAAAAAUUCUAAUGUAAUAAAAGUAAAAAUAAUAAAGAUAAAAAUAAGCAAAAAGGAAAUUAAAUUAAAUAAACUAAUAUGAUGGAAUUCAAGCUUUAAGCUCGAUUUUGUUCCAAUUUCAAACCAAUGCACGAUAACAAGUCUUCUCCUUCAACCGAUAAGCCAGUUAUAGUGAUCGAGGAUGCCUCAGACCACUAACCCUUCCAUAUGUAAAUUAAUUACGAGAACACCCAACAAUUAAUCCUUAUCGAACCAACAACCACAAAACACGCAUCCACGAUUUAGCUCUCUGGUAGCCUUGUGAGCUAAAAGGGUCCAUCUCGAACCAACAACGUCAAUUACGUGAGUCGUUUAGAUCCGAUUGCUAACUUCUUAGUUGGACACGCCAAUGUGUUCUUCGGAAGAUCAAAUACGACAAAUGCUCAAUCCGGUACUUCCAAUUGUACGUCUAUCAACACCGAAUCAACGAGCUAUUUUUAACAUGGUGUGAACACAACUUUGUGAGAUGCCAAUAUCUAUCUCCUAAAUCAGAGAAACAACAAAUACCGAAAUAAAAGUUUUUAAGUAUAAAUUUGGAUCUCACAGCUGUCUACUGGAUUAUUUAUUUAGCUACUAAUGAAAAUAUAUGAAAUAAAAGUAUAAAUAAAAUUUUAAAAAUAUGGAAAUAGGAUUGCGCAUGUAAGAGAGAAGUGAUAAACAAGUAUGAAUAAAAGAGGGGCAAAUUUUCCAAUAAUAAAGAAAAAAAAAUCAUCACCCUUUAAAAAAGAGUGGGCCAAUCUCACUUUUACCCUUUAAAAAAUAUAUACAAUAAUGUUGCAAUUGAUAAUUCUGCCCACCUUGUUCUUCUUUAUUCAUAACAUCAUGUGGUGCUAUUCAAGAAAAAUACAUUGAAAGCUGCAGAAAAUUUAUAAAGAAAGGCCGUCCGUUAAUAAAGUUUUUAAUAUAAAAUUAGUAACUUUUUAUUUAAUUAUUACUUAGUGGGUGGAUGGUGACAUCUUUAAAAUACAAUAUUGACUCUACGGGUAAUGUACGUAUGUAUUAACGCUUGUAUUUUCAUCUUGUUCAAAUCAUUUCACUCUUCCUCCUGCAAUAAUCAAACACUUUUUGCGUGCCAUCAAUGGCUGAAGCAUUGCUUUCGAUAUUGCUGGAGAGCUCAUUACUAAGUUGAUCUCUCGAGCUCCCUCUCAGAUUGGAGUAUGGUGGAAUUUCAAAGAUGACCUCGAUGACUUCAAACAUUGUUGCUGUCAUAUCUGAAUGGGCUGAUCUAUGAAAAUUAAAUUAACUCUAAUACUACUUAAUUGUUAGGAUCAAUCCAAUUAAGCAAUAAGUAAAUAAAAUAGCGGAAUAAAUUGAGAAAUUGAACACAUAAAUUUAACGUGGAAAAAUCCCUUUAAAGAGGAUAAAAACCACGAGCAAAUAUAAUUUUACUAUAAUGGCAAAAGAACGAAGAGCAUAAAAGAUGGAGAUAAAAACUAAACCCCGAAAACCCGAAAACAAAGAACCCUAAAAACAUAAACACAAAAUUCUCUAAAUGUGUUAUGAGUCUUAUUAUUAAUUAUUGGUAUCGUUGAUGUAGCUGAGCGUGUUAAUAUUUGUUGUUAGUGGUAGUAACAUUUUAAUUAUUUUAUUCUACAUUUAUUUGUUUAUUGAAGUGGGUUGAUGAUUUUUAAUUGUUUAUUUUUGGAAAUCUUGUUUCAUUCUUUUGUUCCAUGUCAUGUUGGAAAAAGAGUUCGAAUAAACAUGUUUGGAGUAUUAGGGUUGUAUAAAUCUAAAUUUUAAGAGAUUGUUGGUAAGUCAAGUAAAAAAAUAUUUUUUAGAAAAUUUAGUAUUUAUUAAUAUAAUAUAUAUGUUUAGCAUUUAUUAGCAUAAUAUAUUUGAGAUUGAUUAGAAUUAGAUUUUUUUUAACCUAUAAAUAGAUGUAGUUGAAACUCCUAUCGUAUCAUUUGAAUUCAAACAAUUAAUGCAAUAACCAUAUAAAAUGGCGUUGGUUUGGAUACCCCUUUGAUGUUUUGUCUUCGUUUUGGUGUUUGUUUUGGGGGUUGUGUCUCUUUGGGUUAAUUUUCAAUAUAUGUGUGCUGAUGAUGCAAUGAAUAAAGAAAUCAAAAGUUAUGCAGAAAUUUCAAUUCUGGAUGGUGCUGCAAUUAUAUUUUUAAGAGUAGUAGCAUUUUAUUUGUUAUUAACAUAUAUUUGUUUAUUGGAUACGUGUGUUGAUGAUGCAGUGAAUAAAGAAAUCAAAAGUUGUGCAGAAAUUUCAAUUUUGGAUGGCGCUGUAAUUAUAUUAUUAAGAGUAGUAGGAUUUUAUGUUUCUUUUAGAUGUACAUAUAUUUAUUAGGAAAGGGUUCAAGUUUUUUAUUUGUUUAUUAUUAGGGUUAAAUAUCAAAUUUAUACCCUAGUUUUGGUUCAAUUGUAUAAUUUGAUACAUGAAUUUUGAUUUGGUGCAAUUAUCUACAUGAAACUUGAAUUAUGGUUCAUAUAUAUAUAAAACUUUGAUUUUGAUAUAAUUGUACGCAUUAAAGAAAUGAAUACCUAUAUUUAUUUUCACAUUGGAUUAAUAUAAUUGUAGCGACCUAAAAUUUUUGCGAGUUAGUCGAGGUCGUUACGAAAGGAAAUCUUGGGUUGACGAUUAUUGAAAAUUCGGAAAAGGUCUCAAUUUUACUUAAAAAGAGAUGAGUCGCCACCGGUCCUUUUUCUAAGUGAGAUCAGACACCUACUAAAUUCUCUUUUUAAAAGAAAAUUUAUUUUUAAAAUUCUCUUUAAAAAAAGUCGAUUUUAGGUCUGCGUCAAAAUCCAAAGAAAAUUAGAGUUCGGGAGUCUGUUAUGCACAAAGAAUGUAUUAACACCCUCGUGGCGCCCAAAAUCGGUAUCCCAUUAAAUGCGUGUUGUCUUAAAUUUUAAAAAUACGAAUUCAAUUUAAUAUUUAAUCAUGAUUCGAUUGAAAAAUGAGAAUUUUGAUAAAUUACAUAUUAUUGUAUUGUAUAUAUUUUAGAAUGAAAUACUGAUAAUUUACGAAUAAAAAUAAAGAUUUUAUUUUUAAUGAGAGAAUUUUUUUAAUUUUUUAAUUUUUAGAAGGGCGUUCCGUAUUUAAAAAAAGUCAAUGAUAUCCACCCAACAUAGCAGUGAAAUAAAUGACUUAAUGCUAAAUCGGUUCGUUGCCUUAGGUAUUGAAAUUAUUUAAAUUAAAAAUUGUAAAUGAAAUAUUUCUAAAAGGCUGUUUAAAAAUGCUAAUUUAAUUAAAAUGAAACAAUAUUUAAAUACAUGGACUAAAUAAAUAAAGACAUGCACCUUUGUUGUGAGAUAUCUAGUGAGUUCAAAAAUUCUCUUCUGAAAAUGGUGGCUAUCAUGUAAUUAGUAGUAUAUUAUUUCAAUUUUGGUGAGAAUUGUAUUCUCACUUAAACGCUUAAUGCCAUUUGCUAAAUUUUUUGUGUGGGUGAUCUUUUGAUCUGUUCAUAAACCGAACUUUUCAUGGUGGCUAAGUUUCUUAGGGGAUAAAUUAUUAGUAGCAUUAUUUGUUUCUGCAGUGAAAUUGUGAUGCCUGUAUUUUAAAAUGUGAGGUAUUAUCGUAUUUGAUGAUAUAGUGGAGUUUUGGUAGAUUAAACGGAUCGUUUGCUGAGCUAAGUUGAAAUUGAAUGAAUGCUGGCCUCAUCCAAUGUCCAAAACUUGAUGACUUCAACAUUUUGAUGCCUUAAUUUGAGAAGACUGAGUUAGAGUACUAUAAAACUUUCUCAGAAUGCUGAUGAGGCAAAGAUCUAGUGAUCUAAUAUAAUUGCAAUUCAUAGUAUGGUAGUUUCAAUGCUUUCGUAAGAGAGGAAGAUUAUGUCAUGCUACUCCAUUCUCGGUUUAAAUCAGUGCUCUAUAUGAAGAAAGGUUGAUGGGUGUUAGUUCUUUUGAUGUCUUGUCUUUGAUGGAUGUUUGAAAAAUGAUUCAGUUGAUAUUCAUAAUGUCUAUCACUACAGUUUCCCCCUUAUGUAUAAUAUGUCUGCUAGUUUGUCGGUCUUCGUAUAUUACAUUCCUUUUUCUUAUUGUUUUCAACACGAUAACAAGUGAGUUAGUAGCUAUUUUACUUGAUUUUGUCAUGGCAUUUCAAAGAUGACCUCAAGGACCUCAAAAGCACCAUCUCCACAAUCAAAGCUGUGCUUCUUGAUGCCGAAGAACAAUCCAUGACCAGCAGUCUCAUCAAAGAUUGGCUUGAAAAGUUGAAAGAUGCAUUUUAUGAUGCCGAUAAUUUUUCUACUGAUGCUUUGCGGAAAGAUCUACUGAGCAGGAACAAGCUAAUGAAAGAAGUAUGCCUUUUCUUUUCAAGCUCAAACCUAUUUGUUUAUGGUGCCAAAAUGGGUCAUCAAAUUAAGGCCAGGAUGUUCAACUUGGUAGAGUGUGACCGUCCCAUUAAAACCUCUUUCAUAACUAAGAAGAGACAGCGAACACACUCUUUUGUGAGUAAAGAUGAAAUAAUAGGGAGGGAAGAUGAUAAAGCAGCUUUUCUAGAACACAUAUUAGAGUUCCAAAGUGAAGAGAAUGUUUAUGUGGUUCCGAUUGUGGAGUUUGGAGGGUUAGGGAUGACUACAUUAGCACAGUUUGUCAAUGAAGUGGUCAAUGAUCAUUUUGAGUUGAGGAUAUGUAAAGAUUCCAAACUGGUCAUCUCGGAAGCGAUCUUAAAUUGGGCAAAUCAGAGAGAUAAAGAAAUUGCAACCCAAUCCGGAAGAUACCGACACUUUGGAAUUUUUGCCAGCGAUAGAGAGCGUAGGUUACAAUGCCAUGGACAGAUCACAGCUCCACUUUCUGUAUAGUUUCAAAAAUUACUCGGGGCAGAAGGCAAUGGGAGCCACAGCUCUCCUUACCCCUCCCCCCUUCCAAAUUUGGAAAAUUCUCAUUAAGCCUUCAAUUUUUUUGAAAAUUUUAAUUGAACUCCUCAAUUUUUUUAAAAAUUUUUCCUAAGCCUUUAAUAGUUUUAUAAGUUUUAAUUAGACCCUUUUUUUUGAAAUUCUCAUUAGGUUCUUUAAAAUUUUUGAAAAAUUUAAUUCCACAUUUCGCUACCUUUCUUCUCUGAUAGUUUUAGUUUAUUUGAAUGCUUGGAAUUAGGCUUUCACAUUGUUACAUUGUUGAAAAUUACUUGUAUUUUGAUAAGGAAAACAAUGGGAAAAAUAACAAUUAGAUACUUGGAAUAUUGGCUUGUGCCAUGAUACGCCUUUAUAAGGUGUUAUUCAACUUGUAAUUUGAUGUGUGCCAACAUAAGCAUCAACACACAAGUCAUGUAUAUACAGCCAGGACAUCGACAUCUUUUGGAAGAGUCCUAAUCCAAGCAUCAUAAUUGAACAUAGCCUUGGAAUACCGUCUAAAAACAAUUAUUGUCUCAUAAUCAAUUGUGCAUCCCUGCAUUUGAAUACUGUUUGGAACCCUAAAAAAACAUAAAUGUGUUUUUUCCUGAGUUGGUACAUAUUAUGCAACAAGGAAAAUAAAGAACACAAUCAAUAUAUUUACGCAGUUCGAAACUCGUCCUACGUUUGUGGGGCUUUGCCCCAAGAUGAAUACACUAUGAACUUCAUAGUACAAAGAAAUGAUUUAAGCUCAACCCCUCAAACAUUUGAUGCAAUCUCACUUUUGUACAGUUUAAGUAAAUUCUCUCCCAACUCAUUUUAGCUAUGCAAGUGAAAAUUCACAUUCAACACUCAAAUGGUUUUCCUACUAUGAAUCAAGCUCUUAAUAAGCUCCAUGUAAAGUGGAAUAAUAAAUUUUCAAAUGCAAUAUGUCUGGCAAUUGUCAUGCUUGAACAACGACUCUUCCAAAACCAUCAAUGAACCUGAAAAUUACAAAUGCCAACAUAGAAUAUGUUACAAAUCCCAUUAGUAUCAGCCUUAUAUUUGCACAUAUGUGUGUUUAGUAUAACGCUGUUGAUAUAUAAAUAAUGAAACAUUUUAUCAACUUCAACCUCACCACCAAAUAUUCCGAAGCAUCUUCCUUUUUUUCCUGUUUGGACCUUCAGUAACAAAUUUGGCUGGAAUUCUAAACAGCUAAAAGAGUUCCCUGCAUCAAUGAAUAUUAUGAAUUUGAAUACCUCCAAAAGCCUGUCAAUAUCACAGGUACCAUCUAAGAUAGUAAUCAGUUGGCAUAUAUUAAGAGAAAACAUAAAUAUAUAUAACGAUAUCAUCGGUAAGUGCUUAAAUGAAGAAAGCAGAGCAUAUAGUACAACCAUUUUGAAUGCUUCAUAGGCCUCUCUCUCCACAUCAAUUGUUUUUUAGAAUUAAAUUAUUAGAAGCAAUUGUCAAGUUAUAAUUAUGAUUUAAAAGUAAAAAGGAAAUAGAUAAAUUAGCACCUCUUUUUAUGCAUAUAAAAUGAUUGAAGUUGACUAAUGCCUUUCUGCAAUGCCUUACUGCACAAAUCAGCAAAAAUAUUAUGAAAGAUGAUAAGUAAAAAGUAGGAUUAAAACAAAGGCAUUUUAACAAGGAAAUUAAUAGUAUCCAACUUCAAUGAAAAAUGGCAUCAGACCCCUGACUUGGAGAUUCAAUAUACCACUCCUAUUUUUCUUCAAAAAAAGAUGAGGUCAUCAAAAUAAAUAAAUAACAAAGACAGACCAACCUGAUCCAACCGAAUGUUGGGGAUGUGAGCAAUCUUUUGCCAAUCAGCGCCAAUGUCCUUCCGACAUCUUUCCUCCAACAGAGGAAUUUCUUGUAUUUGUAAAUACUCCAAACAGGUUAGGCAACACAUCUCGUCCGGAAGAGAUGUUAAAUUGGGCAAAUUAACGAGAUAAAGCUGUUCCAGAUUUGUUAGAUGUUGAAGCCGCUCCGGAAGAUGCCGACACUUUGGAAUAUUUUCCAGCCAUAGAAGGCGUAGGCUUGUAUGAUCUUGGAAUAUUUGGAUGCCAGCUCCAGAUAACUCCAGCUCCUUGCAGUCCUUUACUUCAAACAGUUCAAGGAAAGUGAGGUGUUGGAACACAGGAAGCAGUGACCUC
rnacentral:lncRNA from 1 species